UACAGAGGGUGCGAGCGUUGUCCGGAAUCACUGGGCGUAAAGGGCGCGUAGGCGGCUUGAUAAGCGUGCGGUGAAAGCCCGGGGCUCAACCCCGGGUCGGCCGCGCGAACUGUCGAGCUGGAGCACUGUAGAGGCAGGUGGAAUUCCGGGUGUAGCGGUGGAAUGCGUAGAGAUCCGGAAGAACACCGGUGGCGAAGGCGGCCUGCUGGGCAGUGGCUGACGCUGAGGCGCGACAGCGUGGGGAGCAAACAGG
rnacentral:rRNA from 1 species